UACGGGGGGAGCAAGCGUUGUUCGGAUUUACUGGCGUAAAGGGUGCGUAGGCGGCUUGUUAAGUCAGGGGUGAAAGUUUUCGGCCCAACCGGAAAAUUGCCCUUUGAUACUGGCGAGCUCGAGUGCGUGAGGGGUAACCGGAACGAGCAGUGUAGCGGUGAAAGUGCGCAGAGUAUCAGGAGGAACACCGAUGGCGAAGGCAGGUCUCUGGGCCACUACUGACGCUGAGAAGCGAAAGCGUGGGGAGCGAACAGG
rnacentral:rRNA from 1 species